GCGGUUAACUUAUCUAUGUCAUGCCAGCAUGAAAACGCAGGCAAAAGCUUUUUCAAAACAUGAGUUGAAAGUUUUUAAUAGAAAUACUUUCAUGUAUUCAAGUGUUCAAUCAGAAUAUAUCAUAGUUAGAAUAUUUAAAUAAAAUUUACCGACAAGUUUAGGAGGUUAGGAUAGAUUUCACUUAUAAAGUAAUAUACGUACCACUUUUCCUACCUUGUUAUUUUUCUGUAAGAUACAUAUAUACAUUUUUUUUUUUUUCAUUAUUUAAGGUACAUAUAUGCACCUAUUGGGAACCCUCUACCAAAGGCAAAAGGGGUGGUAAAAUUGGACGUGUCCAUAUCAGAAAUUGAUCAACGCGAUUGCAUAGUGGCCACAAGAAUUUUUGGACCAAACUGUUUUCUGUAGUGAGCCCUUCUUUGUGGCAAAGGACCCUAACAAUGUAUCUGCAGCUAAUGAAGACAAUGGCUAUGUGGUGUGUUAUAUGCAUAAUGAGAGCACAAGAGAAUCAAGUUUCAUUGUAAUGGAUGCCAAGUCUCAUGAUCUUGAAAUUGUGGCUGCUGUGAAAUUGCCUCGUCGAGUGCCUUAUGGAUUUCAUGGGAGAUUCGUGAAGGAAAGUGAUCUCAACACGCUAUGGAAAGUCGACGGCUCAGGUUUGCUUGAAUUAGGCUUCAAUCUGAAGUAAAUUUAGGUCGAUUAUAUGAACUUUCACUAUUUUGGCAUAUUAAGCUGCUUGUAUUAGUCUUGUGUAUAUGUAUAGUGUGUAUUUUUCAUAAUUGCAUUUGUU